GCCCCUCGGCUGUUCCUCUUCCUUCUCACUCCCGCCCCCCCGCCGUCGCUGGUAACCGGCCCUGUUUUCGUUACUCCCCCCCAGCAGGAAAGGGGCUGGGUUAAGCCGCCACCAAGAGUCCAGGCGCUCCAAGCGGCGUCCCUAUUUCCCUUCCGGAGAGGUGAGCGGAAAGGGUUGCUGCUCUCGACCCGGAGUUCAGGACGCGAAAGUUCAGGACGAGGGGCUGCUGCACCAUGGCUGGAUCCCUCGGCCUGUGGAUACUCUUGAGUUAUGUAAUCUUUGGAAAUGGACUUCAUUUGGAGAUUCUUGGCGGAAGGCAUGAGCAAGUAUUCCAUCAGAAGACCCUAAUCAGGCAAAAGCGAGAAUGGAUUGUCCCACCUUCCAUAAUCUGGGAAGAACGUGACAAUUCCAAGAAGAACCCAAUUGCUAAGAUUCGGUCUGACAAAGAUGUUGAACCAGGAGUAAUAAUUACUUACACCAUUUCUGGCCAAGGAGUCACAGAACCACCAUAUCAUUUGUUCGUGAUUAAUGGGAAAACUGGAGAAUUGAACAUAACUGGAAUAGUCGAUCGGGAACAAACACCAAUGUUACAUCUGAGAGGCUAUGCCCUGAAUCAAAGAGGUGAAAAUCUGGAAAGGCCACUGGAUCUGCGGAUUAAAGUUCAGGAUGUAAAUGACAAUAGCCCAGUGUUUUCACAAACAAGUUUCAGUGGUUCUGUUGAAGAAUUGUGUGAAGUGGGUACUCUUGUGCUGAAGAUAAAUGCAACUGAUGCAGAUGAGCCCAAUACACUCAACUCCAAAAUUGCUUUUAAGAUUGUUUCCCAAGAACCUAAUGAUCCUAAUGCAUUUGUCAUUAACAAAGCAACAGGCGAAGUUCGGACAGCAACAUUCCAGCUUGACAGAGAGCUACAUAAUAGUUAUUCCUUGGUUGUGGAAGCAAAAGACCGUGAUGGACAAGAAUAUGGGAAUGGUCAAGUGACUACUCUACAGAUCAAGAUUCUGGAUGUUAAUGACAACAUCCCUAAACUUAACAAGACUGUGUAUGAAGGAAGUGUAAAGGAGAAUAUAGCUAAUGUGGAAAUCAUGCGCCUGGAUGUCUUUGAUGGUGAUGAACAAUUUACUGAUAACUGGCUGGCAAACUUUAUGAUUGUGUCUGGCAAUGAAGGAGGCUACUUCCGUAUAGAAACAGAUUCACAAACCAACCAAGGAAUUCUUACUCUGAUUAAGGAAAUAAAUUAUGAAGAAUUGCGGACAAUGGACCUGAAGAUAGUAGUUUCUAACAAAGCAGCAUAUCACAAAUCAAUUAUUAGUCAAGUUUCCCAAGUAAAACCUAUUUCUGUCAAAAUUAAUGUGGAAAAUGUGAGGGAAGGCCCCGUAUUUAAGCCCCAAACGUUAGUGAUUAAGACAAGUGAAACAAUGAAAAUAAACCAGAUUAUUGGAAGCUAUCAAGCUUAUGAUGAAGACACUCAAAAAAUAGCAGAACGCAUCACGUAUGCCAAAGGAAGUGAUAUUGCAAAUUGGUUGAUAAUAAAUGCUAAGACAGCUGAAAUCAGACUACGUAAAAUUCUAGACUAUGAGUCACCCUAUGUCAUCAAUGGUACUUACACUGCAACAAUUUUGGCCAUAAGUACUGACUACCCUCCAAAAACAGCUACAGGUACCGUUGUGAUUCAGAUUGCAGACAAGAAUGAUUACUGCCCAAUUCUUGUGACUCAAGAAACAACUGUCUGCACUAAUACAGAGUAUAUUAAUAUCACUGUUGAGGAUCGAGAUAGACAUCCAAAUGGUGGUCCUUUCACUUUCAAGAUCAUUGAUGAAACUGAAAGAAUGUCAGACAAAUGGAGAAUUGGCCAGAUAGAUGGGCCCAGAGCUCAGCUUAUACUCCAGGGGGUGACACCUGGCACAUACAAAAUUCCUCUUUUAAUAAAAGAUAACCAAGGUUUCAGCUGUCCUGACCAACAAGUACUGAAGGUGGACGUUUGUGAUUGCAAGGAUGGCACUGGUUGCCAGAGUAGAAUUGUCGGCUCCUCCGUUUUUCUGGGACCCGCUGCAGUUGCGCUGAUGAUCUUGGCAUUUUUGCUGCUACUCCUCAUGCCUCUCUUACUGCUGGCCUGUGGCUUUGGGUCAGGCUUCGGAUCAGGCGGCGGAAAAGGAUUUGUAGCUAUACCUGACAGCAGUGAAGAAAUGUUGCGUAACUGGAACAGUGAAGGGGCAGCACCUGAAGAUAAGGCAAUCCUGAACCUCCUUACUUCCUCUGGAUCAGAAAAACUUGUGAGCAGUGGAGCAGCAGUCGUGGGAGCAGGAGCAGCAGGAGCAGCAGUAGGGAACAGCUUCUCCUCUACAAUCAAGGAGCAGAACAUGAGCAGCAACACGAUCACGAGAUGGCAGAGAGAAGACCGUGAAGCUCUUCUUUCUGAGGCAGAAUUUGCAGGUGCCUCAGCCACAGGGGCGGGCUUGACAGCAGGUGGGACAAUGCGGCUAGGAACUGGCAGAUCUUUAGCCAUGGAUACUGGCAUGAUCAUGAAUGAAGAAUUCUUACGGGGUUACUUCAGUGAGAAAGCUGAUGCUUUUGCUGAUGAGGAUGAAGUGCAGCUUGCCAAAGAUUGCCUACUCAUUUACUCCCAGGAGGAAGAGCACGAUUCCCCUCAUGGUUCAGUUGGCUGCUGUAGCUUUAUUGACGGUGACUUUGAUGAACAUUGCUUGGAUGACUUGGGAGACAAAUUUAAGACUCUGGCUGAGAUCUGCAUGGAUAAACACACAAGCCUAAAAGCAGAGCAGUUCAGCUCUCAAACCCAGAAAGAUACAAGUAAUCCUGCAAUGAAUGGAUCCGGUCUGCAGUCCUCCCAUUCUCCACUGCAGAAUGCAGUGAAUGCCAAACAUACUUAUUCAUCAGGGGCUGUCUACAAUCUAUCUGAACCUGUGAAAGGCUUUGGUUCAGAAACGAUGACUGAGAAAACAAUAACUGAGUCAACUGUUACAACUAAAUCUAACCUGAAGCCAGUGAAGCGAAUCCCAAACCCCUUGAUUAGCAGCAGCAGCAGCAAUGUUGUAGUGACAGAAACAUCAUAUGGGACGUUACCAUCAACAGUCAUCCGUGACCCUCAGUUGAAGGAGAAUGUGGUAGUGACAGAAAGGGUCCUUGCACCUGCUUCUAACUUGCAGGACAUGUUAGAAAUGCCAGCUGGUGUCUUCCCAGACCUCCCAGAUUCAAAAUAUGUUGUUGUGAGGGAAAGGGAGCGAGUCCUUGUGCCUAGUUCUGACUUAAAGGCUUCUGUAAGCAUCCCCAAUCUGUCAGAAGGACAGAAUAUAGUAAUAACUGAGAGAGUAGUGACACCAACUCCUGUUAGGCGAGCCACAACUGAAGCAGACACUUUUCCUAACAAUGAGAGGCAGGAACAGAUUUUAAUUUCUGACUCAUUCUUUAACCAAAGUAACCCACAGGAAAUGCUUCCCACAGGUUCAACCUUAAGCAAGUCCUCAAUGAUCAAAAAAAAAUAUAGCUCUGUUCAAUAUACACGCUCAUAGGUGGAUUUCCAUCCAUCACUUCAUAUGUACGAUUUAGCACUGGUAAGAUUGAUUUAUUGCCUUCUCAAGAGCUUGAAUAUGUUGUUCCACUUUCCUAAUGAUGCUUUUUAACAAUCCACAAGGAUGCAGCCUUAAAACCAUAUACUAGGUGCAAUUCCUCACUAUGUAAUGCAGGAUUUAUUUUUGAGAAGUUGCUCAUAAGAUAGUUCUAUUAAAGAGUUCCUGCAAGAAACUCUGAAGCUUACACAGCUAGAAAAGAAUAUUGUUUAUUGAAAGAGCAACAUAAAUUUCCAAAAUCAAUAUAUUUUUAGUCUGGUUGAUAGUCCAAUUGAAGUUAGUUCAGUAUUCAUUAUGCAGCAAAUUCUACUGGCCUGCACCAUGAACCUAAAUAUACUUAGAUUUUUUUCUAAUGAAUUCACUGCGUUUAUUGUUUCAACAAUGUUGAAACAUUGAUUCAACAAAUUUGAAUAUAUUGCAGUUUAAAAUUGACUUCAGAAGUGUAUUUUUAAAGAGUGCUGUAUUCACAAUCAGUUCCCGCUAAGUUUUGUGGGGUUUAUUUUUCAGUCAGUACAGUCAGAAUGCAGCCUUAAAACUACAAUUUUAACUGUUGAGUUAUUUGUUGUAUACAUAGGGAGCAUUCCUAUUCUUUAAAAGAAUGGAUCUCAUUUCAUUUUUUUAAAAAUAAGCUCUAUAGAUUUUUAUGAAUUCUUUACCAAUAGAACAUGAGUGAAACACGGUUUUAUUUCUUGUAAUUUAUAUAUCCUUUUCGAGAUGAAUUAGUUUAUCUGUGUGGUUGGUUCAGAUAUUGUAUUUGAACAAGGUAAUACAUUUCUGAAGGCAGAAUUCCAUCCAGUGUGUGUUUUUUCCCCCAGAUGCCAGAUAUCACAGAAUCCUAACAUCAAAAAAAUUAACAUUUGUCAAUCUCAAGAUUUCUGCCAUUUAAAUAAAUAAAUGUUUACUUUUUUAAAAAAAAUUAGGUUCUGCACUCUGAGUUGCCUUUUCUGCCCAACAAUCUGUUGGAGACCCCUGUCCUAUUGGACAGGCCCAAUCUGUUUGUGAAAGGGAGAUUCCCUAAACAUGAUUCCCAAGGGUUUUCUUCAAGUCUGCUGAUCCCUCCCUCUUGGGAAGUGUGGUUUUAUUAGAUAAGAAUCAGCCUGAGGAAUGUGCUUUUGCUUCCUUUGCAUGUGAAAUAGGUUCCUGUGUUGAGCAAUAGGAGAUACCGUGUUUCCCCAUUGGGUCUUAUUUUCAGGGAAACCCGGUACUAAAUGUGUCCGUCUGGCUGAUGAUCUUAACUGGGGCUUAUUUUGCGGGGGUAGGACUUAUAUUACAAGCAUCCUAAAAAAUCAUGAAAAAUAAUGGCUUCCCUUAUUUUCAGGGAAACAUGGUAAACACCUGGAAACUGGGUCAAUUUUAAAAAAUGUAUCCAGUGUGAAAUGGUCUUAUUGAUCUUAGGGGAAGGAGAGAAUUCAACCUUGAUGUCUCUUUAAUACUUUUGUACCGUGGAUAUUUUUUUUUUGUUUCAUACACUUUGUAAAGGCUUAAUCUAAAUAAUGACCGUUACAUAUUUGAGUUGGCUAUUCUAGUACAUAUGUCUGUUGAAUAAUAUGAGAAGAAAGUAUAAUACACAUGUUUACGUUUUGGGAGUGAAUAAGGCAUACAUAUAAAGGGAAUAGAUGUCUGCUUAUUUUAAAUUUUCCUUUUUAAAUCCAUAGUUUUGUCUAUGGCUAUUGUAUAUGAUCCUGUGUUGUAGGGAAUUUAAGCCACUUCAGUAGUCCACAAUGGAUUUACGGUUAUUGCCAUAUUUUUCUCAUCUGGUAUGGGAAUGCAACCUGCUUGAUUUCAAAGUGUAAUAAUGAUUUCAGGGUUCUUAGCUUUCAUUUUAUAUAACAACUUUACUGUUUAAAUACUAGUUUUGUCGUCAAGGAAUGGGCUGGAUAUGCUGGCAUUUUUUAAUGGAAUUUGAAAUAAAACCAAAAAAACGA